ACAAAAAAAUAAAUCGGGCGCAAAAGGUAAAAACCCUAAACAAUUACACAAACAAAAAAAAAACGAAACAAGCAAAGUGCGAGAACGAUGGUGAAGUAAAACAAUAUCCAGUGCAGCGGUAGAAUGAGCAGACAAAUAUGUGAACAGAGUGGAGAGAAACAAAAACAAAGUGCAACAGCAAACAGUUCCAAAAAAA